CUUUGAUUCUGGCUCAGGACGAACGCUGGCGGCGUGCCUAACACAUGCAAGUCGAACGAAGCUUGAUUUAUGGUUUCUUCGGAAUGAAUAAUGAUAUGACUGAGUGGCGGACGGGUGAGUAACGCGUGAGCAACCUGCCCUUCGGAACGGGAUAGGGGCGGGAAACGGACGGUAAUACCGUAUAACGUAUUUUUACCGCAUGAUAGAAAUACCAAAACUGGGGUGCCGAAGGAUGGGCUCGCGUCUGAUUAGAUAGUUGGUGGGGUAACGGCCUACCAAGUCGACGAUCAGUAGCCGGACUGAGAGGUUGAACGGCCACAUUGGGACUGAGACACGGCCCAGACUCCUACGGGAGGCAGCAGUGGGGAAUAUUGCACAAUGGGGGAAACCCUGAUGCAGCAACGCCGCGUGAAGGAAGACGGUUUUCGGAUUGUAAACUUCUGUUCUUAGUGAAGAUAAUGACGGUAGCUAAGGAGCAAGCCACGGCUAACUACGUGCCAGCAGCCGCGGUAAUACGUAGGUGGCAAGCGUUGUCCGGAAUUACUGGGUGUAAAGGGAGCGUAGGCGGGAAGCCAAGUCAGCUGUGAAAACUACGGGCUUAACCUGUAGACUGCAGUUGAAACUGGUUUUCUUGAGUGAAGUAGAGGUUGGCGGAAUUCCGAGUGUAGCGGUGAGAUGCGUAGAUAUUCGGAGGAACACCGGUGGCGAAGGCGGCCAACUGGGCUUUAACUGACGCUGAGGCUCGAAAGUGUGGGGAGCAAACAGGAUUAGAUACCCUGGUAGUCCACACUGUAAACGAUGAUAACUAGGUGUGGGGGGUCUGACCCCUUCCGUGCCGCAGCUAACGCAAUAAGUUAUCCACCUGGGGAGUACGACCGCAAGGUUGCAACUCAAAUGAAUUGACGGA
rnacentral:rRNA from 1 species